CAGAAGAAAACAGAAUAGGAAUGCAGAUCAAAAUAGGAAAGAAAAUAGUAGGAGAACAUCUAUACAAUAUGGAUGAGUUCAAAUCACCAGGAUCAGAUGGAUUGCACCUCAGGAUACUAAAGGAGUUGGCAGCUGUGAUCUUGUAGCUACUAAAAGAAGUCUUUUAGAGUUCCUGGAGCACGGUGAAACUGCCAGAGGAUGGGAAAACAGCUGAUGUGGUUCCAAUCUCCAAAAAGGGGGAAAACGGAUCCAGGAAAUUACUGAUCAAUCCACCUGACAUUAGUACCUGGGAAGAUCCUGGAAGAGAUUAUCAAGCAACAGAUCUGCAAACACCUACAAAGAAGCAAAAUGAUUACUAGAAGCCAACAUGGGUUUGCUAAAAUCAGAUCAUGCCAGACAAAGCUAUUAUCUUCAUUGACAAAGUUAUUAGACUAGAUUCUGGACCCUUUUAGUUCACUUAGACUUCAGUGAGGCAUUUGACAAAGUAGACCACAGCCUACUUCUUGGUAAGAUAGUAAUGUGUGGGAAACACAGCAUCACCACCAGAGGAUGGUGCAACUGACUGACAAACUGCAAUCAAUGUCAAGUUCUCAAUAUAAGAGAACUUAUAAGAAGGAGAGCAUGCAAUGGGGAGCAUCAAUGCUCUACCCAUUACUCUUCAACAUCUUCAUAAACUGUUCAGAUGAGUGUAUAGAAGAUCAUCAAUUUAUAGAUGACGCCAAGCUGGGGAAUUGGCAACACUUUAGAAUAUAAACUCAAGAUUCGAAAGGAUAUGCAACAAGAUGCAGGUCAAUGGUGAGAAAGGGCUGCAUUCUGAAGUCCCAAUGCUUCUUCAUGGCCAGUAUCCUUGGAAAUGCUGAAGAGAGAAUGUCCAUGGACUCAGAACCCCAUACAUUAUACAACACAGAGAUAUAAAAUAUAAAUACAUACCGCAUGAUAUUCUAGCAGUUACUAUCAGAAAGCCUGCAUUCACAGAAGCAGCAAAUAAGAGUUUGAAGAUAAUAUCAAAUUUAAGAAAGGGGCAUGGUAACUAACAUUUCUAAGGCAGACUCAGUGCUGUUGUAGCUAUAAUAAGCACAUGAUGGCAAUAGCAACCCCUGGCUUGAUCUGAGCAAUAACAUUGAC